rnacentral:rRNA from 1 species
UACAGAGGUCUCAAGCGUUGUUCGGAUUCAUUGGGCGUAAAGGGGGCGUAGGCGGCGCGGGAAGUCGGGUGUGAAAUCUUGGAGCUUAACUCCGAAACUGCAUUCGAUACUGCCGUGCUUGAGGACUGGAGAGGAGACUGGAAUUUACGGUGUAGCGGUGAAAUGCGUAGAUAUCGUGAGGAACACCAGAGGCGAAGGCGGCUACCUGGACAAUUGCUGACGCUCAGGCACGAAAGCGUGGGGAGCAAAAGGG